AUUACCCAAUCCUGACACAGGGAGGUAGUGACAAGAAAUAACAAUACGGGGCUUAAUGUCUUGUAAUUGGAAUGAUGGGAAUUUAAACCUCUUCCAGAGUAUCAAUUGGAGGGCAAGUCUGGUGCCAGCAGCCGCGGUAAUUCCAGCUCCAAUAGCGUAUAUUAAAAUUGUUGCAGUUAAAAAGCUCGUAGUUGAAUUUCUGCUGCAUCGUCGCAUCUCUUGCUGAGUGCUUCGUUUCGGCUUAUUUCGGAUUGAUUUUUUCUUUCCGGAUGAUUACUUUGAGAAAAUUAGAGUGCUCAAAGCAGGCUUUUGCCUUGAAUAGUUUAGCAUGGAAUAAUAAAGUAGGACUUUGGUUUUAUUUUGUUGGUUUUAGGUACCAAAGUAAUGGUUAAUAGGAACAGUUGGGGGCAUUCGUAUUUAA
rnacentral:rRNA from 1 species